UGUUCCUACGGGGCGCAGCAGUAGGGAAUCUUCCACAAUGGACGAAAGUCUGAUGGAGCAACGCCGCGUGAGUGAAGAAGGGUUUCGGAUCGUAAAGUUCUGUUGAAGGGGAAAAAGAGCGGAGAGAGGAAAUGGUCUCCGAUUGAUAUUACCCUUCGAGGAAGUCACGGCUAACUACGUGCCAGCAGCCGCGGUAAUACGUAGGUGGCGAGCGUUAUCCGGAAUGAUUGGGCGUAAAGGGUGCGUAGGCGGCCUGCUAAGUCUGGCGUGACAGGUACCGGCUCAACCGGUACAGGCUCUGGAAA
rnacentral:rRNA from 1 species